AUUCUGGGUUUGGACAAGGGAGA
rnacentral:piRNA from 1 species